AUAGAAGCUUCUGCAUUAUAAUUGCUAUAUAACAAUCUAUAAAAUCCAUCAGUUGUGAAGCUGUGGAACCAAAAGAGAAGUGUUACUGGUUUUCAUUAACUAUACUAAACAAAAAUAUAAAGUGUUGUUCCCAUGUUUCAUGAGCUGAAAUAAAAGAUCCCAGAAAUUGUCCAUACACACAAAAAGCGUAUUUCCCUGAAAUCGUGUGCACAAAUUUGUUUACAUCCCUGUUAGUGAGCAUUUCUCAUUUUACAAGAUAAUCCAUCAACCUGACAGGUGUGGCAUAUCAAGAAGCUGAAUAAACAGCAUUACAUAGGUGCACCUUGUGCAGGGGAAAAAUGGCCACUUUAAAAUGUGCAGUUUGAUCACACAACACAAUGCCACAGAUGUCUCAAGUGUGCAAUUGGCAUGCUGAUUGCAGUCCAUUAAUUGGCAUGCUGAAUGCAGUGUUAAUUUCUUUACUGUUAGCCGCGUCCGGCAUUGUUUUAGAGAAUUUGGUGUUACGUCCAACCCGGCCUCACAAUCGCAGACCUCGUGUAACCACGCCAGCCCAGGACCUCCACAUCCGGCUUCUUCCCCUGCGGGAUUGUCGGAGACCAGCCGCCCGGACAGCUGAUGAAACUGAGGACCAUUUCUGUCUGUAUUAAAGCCCUUUUGUGGGGAAAACUCAUUUUGAUUGGAUUGGCCUGGCUCCCCAGUGGGUGGGCCUAUUGGAGGCCCGUGGCCAAACCAUAUUGUGGGCUCGAGUAGGAAAACAAAGGGGAGCUUGAGGGUAACUAUGUAAAAGCACGCUAAAGGAGCACUGGGUGUCUAUAGUUUGUCUUCUACCGAGAUAAAAUGCUGAACCACUGCUUUCAGUUAAGUGUUCAUCUUUAUUAAUUAAUUUGAACUGAAACCCUAUACCCGGUCAAUUAGAUAGGGAGGACCAGGAGUUUAUGAGAUUUUGGCGCACUUAUAAUAAAUAGUUUAACCCCGUCUUGGAACGUGUCUUGCGUGAACUGUGAGAAAUCACACAGUAAGAGCCACACCACGUAGUAAAAUGGUACAGAGCGGACUAUGAAUAAACAAUGGAUUGCUUGUUGGUGUUGUACACAAAAAUAGCCCCCACUGACGUGUAGUAUACCGUGUCACAACCUACCCCUGAAGUGUGAUCAGUAGGAAGGAGUGAGCUAACCUCUGUGGCAAGCAGGGAUAGACCAAGAGGGGUGACCCGGUUGAUAAAGUGGAGCUCAGGGCUCCACUGCUAGCUCAGCUCAGGGUAGGAAAAAACAGGGAAGUCGCCUCACCGGGAAAGAGGCUCAUUCAGCGGGAUAAUCCAGGCAUAAAACGUGCAGUGGGAGUUGACCCACCCUGUGAGGUAAAGAGAAAGGGAAGGGAAGGGAAAGGGAAAGGGGGAUUCUAGUCAGUUGUACAACUAAAUGCAUUCAACUGAAAUGUGUCAGAAGAUCCACAAGCAAAGACUACCCUCGCGUGAAUGAAGCUAGUAGGUCCGUCAGGGAGACGGCCCAUACUAGUCACCUCGACAUUACUUCUCCGUGCAAAGUACUAGAAUAAAACUACUUGAAGGACCCUGACAGAGAUAUGGGCCUUCGGAAGAUACAACCGUAGUCCAAGGCAGGAGUUGGCAGGAAAUGUCCAUACAUCCACGUUGAGGCCUGCUACAGGCAGGAACAUGGAGCACUCCAUGUCAGUGUCAAGAGAAUAUUCCAGAGCCUUCUGACUAACUACCGGAGAUCUCUCCAAAACAGAUAAGUGAGUCUGCUGGGCCAUGGAACUCUAGAGCAGCACAUAAAAAACCUUCCCACCUGUUACCACCUAUCAGCAGACAGUUCCCUGAGGAAGGAUGCAACUCUCAAGGACAAUGAACAAAUUUGGUGGAUGAUCACCAAACGGAAUAAAGUUUUGUAUAAACUA